GGGAGCUUGCUCCCUGAUGUUAGCGGCGGACGGGUGAGUAACACGUGGGUAACCUGCCUGUAAGACUGGGAUAACUCCGGGAAACCGGGGCUAAUACCGGAUGCUUGUUUGAACCGCAUGGUUCAAACAUAAAAGGUGGCUUCGGCUACCACUUACAGAUGGACCCGCGGCGCAUUAGCUAGUUGGUGAGGUAACGGCUCACCAAGGCAACGAUGCGUAGCCGACCUGAGAGGGUGAUCGGCCACACUGGGACUGAGACACGGCCCAGACUCCUACGGGAGGCAGCAGUAGGGAAUCUUCCGCAAUGGACGAAAGUCUGACGGAGCAACGCCGCGUGAGUGAUGAAGGUUUUCGGAUCGUAAAGCUCUGUUGUUAGGGAAGAACAAGUACCGUUCGAAUAGGGCGGUACCUUGACGGUACCUAACC
rnacentral:rRNA from 1 species